UAAGCUACCUGGUGGAUGGCUUGGCUCGGGCGCCGACGAAGGACGUGGCAAGCAGCGAUAUGCCCCGGGUAGACGCAUGCAGUCUUUGAACCGGGGAUUUCCGAAUGGGAAUCCUGCUGGAGGAUAUUAACCUCCAGCGCCCCGUAAGGGGUGGGAACCCCCCGAACGGAAACAUCUUAGUAGGGGGAGGAAAAGAAACCAAAAUGGGAUUCCCUUAGUAGGGGCGACCGAACGGGGAAAAGCCUAAACCGAACCCUAUAUCGAAAGAUAUAGGGGAUGUAGGGUUAAUGGGCUCAGCCUCCUCCUCGUUUAGGAAGCUGAAGUGGCCUGAAAUGGCCCGCCGUAGAGGGUGAUAGCCCCGUAAGCGUAACUAAACAGGAGAAGGGCUGAGACCCCAGAGUACCAUGGCCUGAUUUGGCUGUGGGAAGUAGGGAGUCACCGACUUCUAAGGCUAAAUACGUCCCGAGACCGAUAGCGCACUAGUACCGUGAGGGAAAGCUGAAAAGAACCCCGGAAGGGGGGUGAAAAGAGCCUGAAACCAGGUAGCUACAUACGGUACGGCUCCUAAGGGAAGAUCCUUCUCGAAGGAAAACUUGGCAACAAGUGAGUACGAAGAGAAGGGGACCAGAGUCGUUCCGUCCGUUUGGAACCACGGGCCGGGGAGUUCAUAGUCGUGGCGAGCCUAAAUGGUUAACCCAUGAAGGCGAAGCGAAAGCGACAGCCCGCAGCUAAAACCUCUACUCUAUAUUCUGAGUAUGAAGAGAAGAUGAUUACAUCAGAAUAUAGAGCAAGUUUUGGUGAGGGGCGGGGUCUUAAAGGCCCUAGUCACGACUAUGAUAACCCGAAACCGGGCGAUCUAGGCCUGGGCAGGAUGAAGUCAGGCGAAAGCCUGAUGGAGGUCCGAAGGGGUGCUGACGUGCAAAUCGCUCCCUUGACCUGGGCCUAGGGGCAAAAGACCAAUCUAGCCCGGUGAUAGCUGGUUCCCCCCGAAGUGGGUCGCAGCCCAGCCCAUCCGGAGGUGUCCCAUAGGGUAGGGCUCUGAUAGGGAAGUAAGAGGUCGAAAGGCCUCGCUUCUCUUUCAAACUUCGAAUCUAUGGGAACCAUAGAAGGAUGGAGACGGGCUCUGCGGGAUAAGCCUGCAGGCCGCAAGGGGAACAACCCAGACUGGGGUUAAGGCCCCAAAGUCCUGGCUAAGUGUCAAGCUGAAAAGGCGUCCUCGGCCGCAGACAGCGGGGAGGUAGGCUUAGAAGCAGCCAUCCUUUAAAAAGUGCGUAACAGCUUACCCGCCGAGGCCGAGGGCCCUGAAGAUUGCCGGGACUAAGCCAGGCGCCGAGACCCCAGGACACAGCUCAUAUGAGCUGUGAUUCGGUAGGGGGGCGUGCCGUUAGGGCAGAAGCUGGUCUGUGAAGACCAGUGGACCUAACGGUAGUGCAGAUCCCGGCGUCAGUAGCAGCGUAGCCGGGUGAGAAUCCCGGCCACCGAAAGGGCUAAGGGUUCCUCGGCAACGCGUCGUCGACCGAGGGUUAGCCGGUCCUAAGAGGAAGCUUAACCGCUCUCCUCGAAGGGGAAGCCGGUUAAGAUUCCGGCGCCACGGAGAUACGUACGGUAACGUAAGCUCAACCCUCUACCUUAGGAUAGGCUGAGCAGGGUUACUGCCCUGUUUAACUGCUUAAACCCGGGAAGUACCGUAAUGGUGAGAACCGGGUGAAGGCAGGAAUAGCCCUCCAAUGGAGGGUUCAGCCGAUUCCUAGGGUCCAUGAAAAGGGGUUGAGAAGGAUUCUCCGUGCCCGUACCGAGAACCGACACUGGUGCCCUGGGUGAGAAGCCCAAGGUGUGUCGGGUAACACCAGGCUAGGGAACUCGGCAAAUUGGCCCCGUGCCUUAGGCAUAAGGGGUGCCUGAAGCCUUAGGUGAAAAAACCUGGGGCUUUAGGUCGCAGUGACUAGGGGGUCCCGACUGUUUAACAAAAACAUAGGUCCCCGCAAGCCCGAAAGGGUGUGUACGGGGGCUGAAUCCUGGCCACUGGCGGUCCGUGAAACCCGGGUUCAACCGGGCUAAGCGCCGCCGAAGGCCGGGAGUAACUCUGACUCUCUUAAGGUAGCCAAAUGCCUUGUCGGGUAAGUUCCGACGUGCAUGAAUGGAUCAACGAGGGCCCCACUGUCCCAGCCUGGUACCCGGCGAACGCACGCACCCAGUGAACAGGCUGGGGACUCCCAGCGGGGAGAGAAGACCCCGUGGAGCUUUACUGCAGCCUGCCGUUGAGGUACAGCUAUAGAUGCAGAGCGUAGGCGGGAGCCACUGAAACAGUCUCUCCGGGGACUGUGGAGGCGCCAAUGUAACACCGCCCAUCCAUAGCUAUACCCCUUACUGGGACGCUAAGUCUCAGGACACCGGCAGGUGGGCAGUUCGGCUGGGGCGGCACGCCCUUGAAAAGAUAACAAGGGCGCCCAAAGGUCGGCUCAAGCGGGUCAGAACUCCGCUGUAGAGGGCAAGGCCAAAAGCCGGCCUGACCGGUUCCUUAACAGUAAGGGAACCGGAGGCGAAAGCCAGGCCUAGCGACCGCUCGUGCCCCUUUCGGUGGGGGCCGGGCAUGACAGAAAAGUUACCCCGGGAAUAACAGGAUCGUCGCGGGCGAGAGCCCCCAUCGACCCCGCGGUUUGUUACCUAGAUGUCGGCUCUUCCCAUCCUGGGGGUGCAGCAGCCCCCAAGGGUGAGGCUGCCCGCCUAUUAAAGGGGAACGUGAGCUGGGUUCAGACCGUCGUGAGACAGGUCGGUCUCUACCUGCUGGGAGCGCUGGCUGCCUGAGGGAAAGGUGCCCUCAGUACGAGAGGAACGGGGUGCCGCGGCCUCUAGUUUACCGGUUGUCCAGUAGGGCAUUGCCGGGUAGCCACGCCGUAAGGGAUAAGAGCUGAAAGCAUCUAAGCUCGAAACCCUUCCCGAGACGAGGCAGCCAUUCCCU
rnacentral:rRNA from 1 species